rnacentral:rRNA from 1 species
AUACGGAGGGAGCGAGCGUUAAUCGGAAUUACUGGGCGUAAAGCGCGCGUAGGCGGCAUUGUAAGUCGGAUGUGAAAGCCCUGGGCUUAACCUGGGAAUGGCAUUCGAUACUGCAGAGCUAGAGUAUGGUAGAGGGAAGUGGAAUUUCCGGUGUAGCGGUGAAAUGCGUAGAUAUCGGAAGGAACACCAGUGGCGAAGGCGACUUCCUGGGCCAAUACUGACGCUGAGGUGCGAAAGCGUGGGGAGCAAACAGGAUUAGAUACCCCGGUAGUCC